ensembl:snoRNA
UGCAAAUGAUGUCUUUCUCACGAUGGUCUUCCAAGUCUAUGGCUUUGACGAUAACGCCUACAGGCAUUACUGAUGCAUUUGG